UCGAGUUACCACUCUACAAACCCCUUGUGAACAUACCUAUACUGUUGCUUCGGCGGGCAGGGGGUCCCCGGGACGCCCUCGCCGCCCCGCCCCUAACCAGGGGACGUGCGCCCGCCGGAGGAUACCCUAACUCUAGUUUUAACGGACGUUCUUCUGAGUGCAACAAGCAAAUAAUUA
rnacentral:misc_RNA from 1 species